rfam:Otolemur garnettii contig054120, whole genome shotgun sequence.
GCCGGAUGCAGUGGCGCACACUUGUAGUCCCAGCUACCUCGGAGGCUGAGACAGGAGAAUUGCUUGAGUCAGGAGUUCUGGGCUGUAGUGUGCUAUGCUGAUCAGGUGUCUGCACUAAGUUUGGCAUCAAUAUGAUGACCUGCCGGGAGCUGGGGGCCACCAGGCUGCCUAAGGAGGAGUGAACUGGCCCAGGUCAGAAAUGGAGCAGGUCAAAACUCCCGUGCUGAUCGGUAGUGAGACUGUGCCUGUGAAUAGCCACUGCACUCUAGCCUGGGCAACAUAGCAAGAUCCCGUCUCUA